AACGUAGGAGGCGAGCGUUAUCCGGAAUCACUGGGCGUAAAGGGCGUCUAGGCGGCUAAGUAAGCGUGGUGUGAAAGCUCGAGGCUCAACCUGGAGAGUGCGCCGCGAACUGCGUAGCUAGGAGGGCGGGCGAAGGGGGUGGAAUUCCCGGUGGAGUGGUGAAAUGCGUAGAGAUCGGGAGGAACACCAGUGGCGAAAGCGGCCCCCUAGCCUGAACCUGACGCUGAAGCGCGAAAGCGUGGGGAGCAAACGGG
rnacentral:rRNA from 1 species